UACGUAGGGUGCGAGCGUUGUCCGGAAUUAUUGGGCGUAAAGAGCUCGUAGGCGGCUUGUCGCGUCGGAUGUGAAAGCCCGGGGCUUAACUCCGGGUCUGCAUUCGAUACGGGCAGGCUAGAGUUCGGUAGGGGAGAUCGGAAUUCCUGGUGUAGCGGUGAAAUGCGCAGAUAUCAGGAGGAACACCGGUGGCGAAGGCGGCUUGCUGGGCCAGUUCUGACGCUGAGGAGCGAAAGCGUGGGGAGCGAACAGG
rnacentral:rRNA from 1 species